AUCAUAUGGUUUUUUUUCACGUCAAAAGACGUAAAAGAUCACAUUCCUAAGGACAUACGUAUGAGUAACGAAAAAUAGACCGGAUAUCCUCCGAUCUCUAAGGGUGCACGAAGGGCGAAUUAGAAUUAAGAAGCGUGCACUUGCGAGAGCCAGCACAACUUCGAAGAUUCGUUAAUGAUCCUUCCGCAGGUUCACCUACGGAAA
rnacentral:misc_RNA from 1 species